rnacentral:rRNA from 1 species
GACGAACGCUGGCGGCGCGCUUAACACAUGCAAGUCGAACGGAAAGGCCUGCUUUCCCUUGUGGAUUGCGGGUACUCGAGUGGCGAACGGGUGAGUAACACGUGAGUGAUCUGCCCCCAACUUGGGUAUAAGCCUGGGAAACUGGGUCUAAUUCCCGAUAGGACUGCAGGGUGGUGCCUGUGGUGGAAAACGAUUUUCUAGUGGUUGGGGAUGAGCUCGCGGCCUAUCAGCUUGUUGGUGGGGUAAUGGCCUACCAGGGCGGCGACGGGUAGCCGGCCUGGGAGGGUGGACGGCCACAUUGAGACUGAGAUACGGCCCAGACUCCUACGGGAGGCAGCAGUGGGGAAUAUUGCACAAUGGGCGGAAGCCUGAUGCAGCGACGCCGCGUGGGAGAUGACGGCCUUCGGGUUGUAGACUCCUUUCGACCGCGAGGAAGCCACCUGGUUGGAAGGGUGGUGACGGUAGUGGUAGAAGAAGCACCGGCUAACUACGUG